rnacentral:rRNA from 1 species
GACGAAGGGGGCUAGCGUUGUUCGGAAUUACUGGGCGUAAAGCGUGUGUAGGUGGUUGUCAUAGUCAGGCGUGAAAGCCUUGAGCUCAACUCAAGAAAUGCGCUUGAUACUGGGCAGCUAGAGGACCGGAGAGGAUAGUGGAAUUCCCAGUGUAGUGGUGAAAUACGUAGAGAUUGGGAAGAACACCAGUGGCGAAGGCGGCUAUCUGGACGGUUUCUGACACUAGGACACGAAAGCGUGGGGAGCAAACAGG